rnacentral:rRNA from 1 species
AGCAACGCCGCGUGAGUGAAGAAGGCUUUCGGGUUGUAAAACUCUGUCUUCAGGGAAGAAAAAAAUGACGGUACCUGUAGGAGGAAGCCCCGGCUAACUACGUGCCAGCAGCCGCGGUAAUAC